rnacentral:rRNA from 1 species
GAUGAACGCUGGCGGCGUGCCUAAUACAUGCAAGUCGAGCGAACAGAUGAGAAGCUUGCUUCUCUGAUGUUAGCGGCGGACGGGUGAGUAACACGUGGGUAACCUACCUAUAAGACUGGGAUAACUCCGGGAAACCGGGGCUAAUACCGGAUAGUUCCUUGAACCGCAUGGUUCAAGGAUGAAAGACGGUUUCGGCUGUCACUUACAGAUGGACCCGCGGCGCAUUGGCUAGUUGGUGUGGUAAUGGCUCACCAAGGCGACGAUGCGUAGCCGGCCUGAGAGGGUGAUCGGCCACACUGGGACUGAGACACGGCCCAGACUCCUAAGGGAGGCAGCAGUAGGGAAUCUUCCGCAAUGGACGAGAGUCUGACGGAGCAACGCCGCGUGAGUGAUGAAGGUUUUCGGAUCGUAAAGCUCUGUUGUUAGGGAAGAACAAGUGCGAGAGUAACUGCUCGCACCUUGACGGUACCUAACCAGAAAGCCACGGCUAACUACGUGCCAGCCGCCGCUGUAA